ACGAAUAUUUGGAGACAUUACCUUUAUAGGGCAACAUAUAAGAUCCUUACCGAGAACAAAAGUCUGAAAUUUUGGCAAUAAGGUCCAGUUGAAUCUUGGGGACAACAUUGAAAAUGAAUAUUUCUUUCCACCCUGCAACCGAUAGACAGAUUGAGAUUACUAACGGAAUUUAUGUUGAAAACCUGUGUUAUUGACUCUAAGGGUAAUUGGGAAAGCCACCCAGGUUCGAUUGAAUUUUCGUGCAUCAAUAGUUACCAUGCAAGCAUUACGAUGUCACAUGUUGAGGCAUUGUAUGGAAAGAAUUAUAGAAGUCUUACUUGUUGGAAUGAGUUUAGUGAGAAUAUUGUAUUGAGGACAUAAUUCGUUGAGGAAGAAAUACCCAAAGUUAUUCCCUGAGAUGAGUUACGAGGGCGUAACUCGUUUUCUUUAAGAGGGUUAGAAUGCGAUAUAAAUUCGCGCUUUUUACCUAUUUUUAUGGUAUUUUAUGCAUUUUAUGCUCAUUUUUAGCAACUUAAACAUGUUGGUGCAAAGUAAAUAAAUUCUCCGCAUAAGAAAAAGGUGUUCUUGAGUAACACAAACAUCUUUGAGUUGGCAAAAGAGUGCACAAGAGUGUCACAAAGUACUUCUACAGUAAGAAUAAGUUGAAAACUUUUGAAAAAUGUGUGAAUUUUCGUGUCAAGUUUCGGGACGAAACUUCUUUUAAGAGGGGUAGAUUGUAAUCCCCCGUAAUUUUAUACAUUUUAUUAAUAUAUUUUAACGUAUAAGUAAUUAUAUUAAAAUAGAAUUUACGAAUUUUGAAAUAAAUAUUUAAGUAACGAAUAUUUAUUUUUAUACGUUUUAAAUAUUUCAACGAUUUAUGAAAUUAAAAUUAUUUUAGAACUUUUUGUUGAAAAGAAAUCGAAUUACAAAAACCGUUUGAAUUUGGAAAACAAUCCUAAUGGGUUUUGGAUUCAAACACUUAAACUCAAUCCUAGUUCUAGCCCAAAAUGAUAAAGCCCAAAUAACAAAAACUCAAAUUCUUUACUCCCUCCUCUUUCUAUUUCACGUGAAAACCCAAAACCCAAAACCCUUCCCUUCUCCUUCACUUUCACGUGAACCAGGACCCUCAACCCUCAACCUCAUUGUUGCUUCCGCCACGCCGCCAGACCAGUCGUCGGAGACCACCGUUGUCCCUCACCGCAGCUUCAAACGCCGGUAACUCCUCCAUCUCUUGCUUCAUUGUUCUUGCUUCUCCUUCGUUCUUAUUCUUAUCCUCUUGGUUGUUUUUGUUGCUCUCUGCCGCCACCACCACUGCGCAACUGGUUGCGCCGCACCAUCACAGCCACCGUGCACUGUUGCUGCACCGCCCAACUCGCCAACCAACGUUUUCCAUCAUCCUCUUUCUUGUUUCUUCAUUUUCACGACAGCAGCCAAGCACGACUAAGUGCGACCACCGUAGUCACCACCACCAGGCUCCAGCCGCGUCGCCCGUUCCCCGCGACCACCGCCCUGUGCUGCGCCGCCUGUGCUCCGCCGGCCAGCCUCCUCUCUCCUCUUUAAUUCUUGGUGGAGAAUUCUCCGUAGGCGACUUUUGAAUUAUUAAAGUGGUCUUGCAGUUUGUUUACACAAGUCUCUAAGGAUCAAUAAGCAUUGUCCAUCUGCAGGUUUGAAGAUGUUGCAUCAUUGGGAUCGGGAAUAGAGAGCUUGUAUUUAGUUUUGAUUUGCUAAGUUGACUUGGGUUUGCUUAAUUGGACUUUAAACUUGUCAUACUAUUUAUAUUUCCUUAUUUUUGUUGGUUGAUUUUUGGGACUAAACCUGUAAUCGAUUAUUUAUAAACCUAAAGUUAGUUUUAUGU